AUUUUAGUCCGAACCGCAACUUCGAGAAGUGUCCAAACUCUUCUAUCAAAAAAACAAGUGUCGAAACCUGAAACCAUCCAUCCUCACAGAAUCUGUGUUUGCACUUUCGUACUCGAUUUCGCUUCUCCUCUUUCUUUCAAUCGCUUCCAAUCUCAGGAAAAAAUGAGUCGCCGAUCAAGUCGAACAAUAUAUGUUGGCAAUCUUCCUGGUGAUAUUCGUGUGAGAGAAGUAGAGGAUCUUUUCUACAAGUUUGGUCCUAUUGUUGACAUUGAAUUGAAGGUUCCUCCAAGACCACCAGGUUAUGCUUUUGUGGAGUUUGAGGAUGCUCGUGAUGCUGAAGAUGCAAUUCGUUAUCGAGAUGGAUACAAGUUUGAUGGCUUGCGAUUAAGAGUUGAAUUUGCACAUGGUGGACGGGGCUAUUCAUCACCGGUAGACCGUUAUAGUGGUAGCGGCAGUAGCCGUGGAGUGUCGAAGCAUUCUGAGUAUCGUGUUCUGGUCACUGGAUUACCUUCUUCAGCUUCAUGGCAAGACCUGAAAGAUCACAUGCGAAGAGCUGGUGAUGUAUGUUUCUCUCAAGUUUUCCGUGACCGGGGUGGCAUGACUGGGAUAGUGGAUUAUACAAAUUAUGAUGAUAUGAAAUAUGCUAUUAGAAAACUUGAUGACUCAGAAUUCCGAAAUGCGUUCUCUCGGGCAUACAUACGAGUGAGGGAAUAUGAUCGACGGAGCUAUUCUAGGAGUCCUAGUUGUGAUACAAGGAGGAGUUAUUCUAGAAGCCUUAGCCGCAGUCCUAAUAUGUCACGAAGUAGAAGCCGCAGUCGAAGUUAUAGCUAUAGUAGCAGGAGCAGCAGAAGCUUGUCUCCAAAAGUGAAACGCACUCGGCGGUCUUUAUCUCGUUCAAGUUGUCAGCAUAAUAAUACUUCAAAUAUUGAAAGUUGGAGGGGGCAGGAGGGCAUGAAUGAAGUGGUUCGUCAUGUUGGCCACUUACUACAAUGUUCAUUAGAGUUCCACAUGUUUGUUUCCUAGAUGCGACUUUUUGCGGCGAUCUGGGGGCAUGUGGUACUCAAAUUCUCAAUGUUUUGUGGUCUAAGACUGGAAUGCAGUAAAGAGGGACAAGUUGCAAUCUAAAAGCUGGAUCACUGUGAUUAAGAACUAAUGGCACCAGAGAUUGCAAAUCAACGGUGUUACAUUCCAAAACCAAUUUCUACAAAUUCUGUGUUCAAAUUCUUGGGCCAAACUUAUAUUCCUCUUUAGGGUUUAUCUUCCCCUUAAUUUCUUCACAGUAUCACGAAUUGGCAACAAUAGAUUCUUUAGAAGUUGUUGAGUUGAGGCCAGUGUGAUACUGGGUUUACUUGCUUUUCAUUAUUCUGGAUGCUAAACUGAGUCAUUGGUUCAAAUGUUUUGCAGAUCAUUGUCAAGAUCGGAGUCAGCAAAUUCAUC